ensembl:lncRNA
UGCUGAAGGGCUCCUGCUCCCCACAGUUUAAAGGAGAGAAACCUGCUGGUGUUAGCUGCAGCCCAGGCAGAGGUGAGAGAGCGACAGGAGGUCAAAGACGAGAUAGGAGAGGUGGAGCAACAGGUGGCGGCCGUUCUUUCCUCACUGGGACAUCAGGUCAGGCUCCUCCGUUGCUGAGAAUGUCACUUUUCACCUUUUGGCAAAAUAGGGAUCCUUGCAGGUCUAACUGUGUUGAAAAUCCCCGUUUCUUUUCAAUUUCUGCAGGAAUUCAGAGAAGAGUUGUCGUCUCAGAGGGCCAAACUAGAGCGCAUCAGAGAGAGGGCGCAAAUCCGCUACCCUGUGAUACCGGCUGAUAUCUGCAGAAGACUAGACGAAGCUCAUCUGUCCAUUCAAAAGGAAGAGGAGAGGGUAACUGAUACCACCUUUCCUGUUGCUUAUACUUUUACGAUGCAUCAAACACAGGUAUAUUUUCUAUAGUCUGAGACUACCUCCAAAUAUUUUCCUUGUGCAGUAAUCUAGAUGAUUGGGACAACUGAAUGUUUGGGUAGCUCAUUAAUGUGUUUUCAUAAAGCUCACAGGGAAGAAAAACCCAGUUUGGAAGCUGGACACUCAAGUGGCUGAGCUGGAAUCUAGCCUGGAGACCGUGAAGGUGUUACUGGAGCAGCAGAGCCCAACAGUGGACGAAGCACAACAUCUACUCAAGGUGUCCCUUCGUCCGUGUGUCAUUCUGUACCCGAUAACGUUCUUCUCUUCAAUAACAGCUUCAUAUCGACAGAUCGUGCACAUCAGACCCUCUUUUUCUUGUUCCCCAGCAUGUGUGGGAUAAGCUGGAUGCUUGGCAUAGCCGCUUGAUGCUCCUGGAAAAUGAGGUGGAGGAUCUUGCAGAGGAUCACCCUGAUCAAGCCCACAUACUCGUGGACCAACUCACGCGGCCGCUGCAGCUCUACCAGAACGCAGCGCAGAUGGCCGAACAACGCACGGCCUUCCUGGGAAAGAUCCCCGCCUGUCUUCAGGAGUUUGACGGUAUACUGUACAGUGCCACCUGCUGGUUGGAGGAGGCACAGUCAUGGCUCUAUGCCCCCUGCAGCUUCACAACAGCCAAAAACCUGCAGAACCACGCGAACUCCCUUCAGGUCUAGAACAAUAACCCACACACACACACACACACACAUUAUAGACACAAUCCUCGAAGCCAAACCAACCCAACUAACCUCCUUACCCUAACCUGAACAAGUCUUGACCCUCAAACUGUCCUUCGAGGUUGUGGAUCCUAUAAAAUGUCCCUUUGCUGAAUUGCUGACUUUGGUUUGGGAACUGGUCUGCAGCUGGUGCUGGAUGAUUCGGAGCGGAUCAGACUCGUCAUGCAGGACUUCAGGGCAGUCCUAGAUGACAUCUGCUCCGUGUGCAACAUGAGCUGGCAGAAGGACAGGCUGCAGCAGAGCGACCAGCAAGUCCACAAAAUGCAGCGUACCAUCCUGGAGCAGCUGGAGCUUUUUGUUCAGGCUGUUCAGGUAAAACAAUCAGCAUCGGGUUUCGGCCAUAGUUGGAUGUUUCGGGUAGAAACGACGCUGGCAAUGAAAAUAUUGACAUGUGACAUCUACGUUUUAGGAGGUGGAGGCCAUGGAAGAAGAGGUGAAGACCUUGGACAACAACGUUGCUAAGAUUCAAGCUAUUUUGUCGUCUGUUGACAACUCCAGCUUAAGUCUAAGGGAGCAACAGGUGAUUGUGUGCUGCUACUGAUCACUGAUUCAAAGCCUCCGAUACAGAUGGAACACCUAAGGGUCAGUUACAUUCUUCUCUUACAUGUUGAAGGUCAUUCUAACCAACAUGGCGUCCAUACGAAGGACGCUGGAGGAGGUGGAGAGCUGCAAAGGAGAACUUCACCUCCCUCAGGGAGCAGAGGAGAGCCUGCUGAUCUUCUCCAGAGCUCAACAGCUCCUGCAGACAGUCCAGGAGCUGGAGCAGCUCACCGAGCAACAGUCCAUGCAGCUGCAGGUACUUGUGCCUUUACGGGAAAACAUACAUGACAGGUGCACAAAAUAUCCAUCAGAUUUGAUUUGUAGGUGUGAAAAUGGGAUUU